rnacentral:rRNA from 1 species
UGCAAGUCUCAGUACAUGCCGCACUAAGGUGAAACCGCAAAAGGCUCAUUAAAUCAGUUAUGGUUCCUUGGAUCUUAAACAGUUACUUGGAUAACUGUGGUAAUUCUAGAGCUAAUACAUGCAAACAAGUCCCGACCAGAGAUGGGAGGGACGCUUUUAUUAGAUCAAAACCGAUCGGCGUCCGGCUCCGGCCGGCGCCGUCUCUUUUGGUGACUCUGGAUAACUUUUAGCCGAUCGCACGGUCACAGUACCGGCGACGCAUCUUUCAAAUGUCUGACUUAUCAACUGUCGAUGGUAGGCUCUGCGCCUACCAUGGUUGUAACGGGUAACGGGGAAUCAGGGUUCGAUUCCGGAGAGGGAGCCUGAGAAACGGCUACCACAUCCAAGGAAGGCAGCAGGCGCGCAAAUUACCCACUCCCGGCACGGGGAGGUAGUGACGAAAAAUAACGAUACGGGACUCAUCCGAGGCCCCGUAAUCGGAAUGAGUACACUUUAAAUACUUUAACGAGUACCAAUUGGAGGGCAAGUCUGGUGCCAGCAGCCGCGGUAAUUCCAGCUCCAAUAGCGUAUAUUAAAGUUGUUGCGGUUAAAAAGCUCGUAGUUGGAUCUGUGUGCCACGCUGUCGGUUCACCGCCCGUCGGUGUCAACUGGCAUGUCUGUGGGACGUCCUGUCGGUGGCGGUACGGGCUGCCGGCGCUGCGUAGGGGCACAACCCCGAAGCACGCCGGCGUGUCCCGGUCCGCCGAUCCAAUCCCGCCGCGGUGCUCUUCACUGAGUGUCGAGGUGGGCCGGCACGUUUACUUUGAACAAAUUAGAGUGCUCA